CUUUCUCCCGUGCUGGAUGUUUCCUGUCCUGUGACAUCAGACUCCAGGUUCCUCGGCCUUUGGACUCUUGGACUUACACCAGUGGUUUGUCGGGGGCUCUGGAGCCUUUGGCCACAGACUGAAGGCUGCACUGUUGGCUUCCCUACUUUUGAGGCUUUCGGACUUGUACUGAGCCACUACUCGCUUCCUACCUCCUCAGCUUGCAGAUGGCCUAUCGUGGGACUUCACCUUGUGAUCGUGAAAGCUGGAAGAAAACGGCUCUGAUAACCCUUGAGGACAAUCUUCAUGCAGGCAAAGUGGUUGAUUCUCAGGAGAACAAGCAGAAGCUUCUGGAAAAUGCCCAUGACUCUCCGCUAAUGCUUGCUCAGCGUUUGGGCAAGUCGACUUUAUACCUAGAGCUCAUUCGCUUCAGAACCAGUGUCUCUAAAUUUUUUAUCACUAAAUAUUAAGGGACAUGGACAAUAUUUUUUUAAAACCUGCCCUGUAACCCUAAGAUUUUAUAACUUUGUAAAAUUUUGUACUUUAUUGCCAUUAAAGAUCAAAAUGUAUGGAAAUAGCAUGAGUUACAAAGAUGCCUCAGCAUGCCUGUUACAUUGCUGCAGUGUCAUUUUCCAAAAAUAUUCUAUUUAAACUCAAGAAAAUCGCCACUGUUUCUUUCUAACACCUGUCAGCAACUGCUCAUAGCUCACUGAUGUAGCUGUUUUUGCAUUCUGACACGUGAGGUCUACUCACAUUUUGUAAGACAUGUCACUGUCAAAAGCUAAAAAUAAAAAGGCAAAUGUGACAGCCCUGGUGCCGCCAUGCCUAAGAGCCACAGGUAAUUGUGAUCAAGAGGGGUAUUUUUAAAUGUUGCAAAAAUAUCAAACUUCUAUUUCUUCCUUUUAAUUUUUUUGUGAUUUUUAUUGAAUUUCAUCUUUUACUAUUAGCCAAAAAUUGUUCUAUGAUUGUAACCAGUGAAAACUACACAAGAUUAUUUUUCUCAAGAAAAAAGACUGAUAUAGUUUUGAAAUCUUUUGUUGAGAAAGCUGCACUAAAUUGAAAUCACUUGGCUUAGCUACUUCUGAGGAAAGGCCAGACAGCAACUGUAAUGGAGGCUAUAAAAAUGCAUAGGAAGCCAAGUAAUUCACAAGUGAUUAAUGAUAAUGGUAAUACAGAAAAGACCUUUGGUAAUAAAUACAUAAUUGAGUUUAGAAAAUACAACAAAGAGUAAUUAGAUUAAACUGAGUUGUAAACAAUGAGCAUGUAAAAAAGAU
rnacentral:lncRNA from 10 species